CUUAUGCCCAAAUAAAUGUGUUAGUCUCUAAGGUUUCAGAGUAACAGCCGUGUUAGUCUGUAUUUGCAAAAAGAAGGGGAGUACUUGUGGCACCUUGGAGACUAGCCAGUUUGUUUGAGCAUGGGCUUUCGUGGGCUGCAGCUCACUUCAUCGGAUGCAUACUGUGGAAAGUACAGAAGACAUUUUAUAUAUACAGAGAACAUGAAACAGUGGGUGUUACCAUU